rnacentral:rRNA from 1 species
UACGUAGGGGGCAAGCGUUGUCCGGAUUUAUUGGGCGUAAAGCGCACGUAGGCGGAUUUGUCAGUCAGGGGUGAAAUCCCGGGGCUCAACCUCGGAACUGCCUCUGAUACAGCAAGUCUUGAGUCCGGAAGAGGUGGGUGGAAUUCCUAGUGUAGAGGUGAAAUUCGUAGAUAUUAGGAAGAACACCGGUGGCGAAGGCGGCCCACUGGUCCGGUACUGACGCUGAGGUGCGAAAGCGUGGGGAGCAAACAGG